rnacentral:rRNA from 1 species
GAUGAACGCUGGCGGCGUGCCUAAUACAUGCAUGUCGAGCGAACAGACGAGGAGCUUGCUCCUCUGACGUUAGCGGCGGACGGGUGAGUAACACGUGGAUAACCUACCUAUAAGACUGGGAUAACUUCGGGAAACCGGAGCUAAUACCGGAUAAUAUAUUGAACCGCAUGGUUCAAUAGUGAAAGACGGUUUUGCUGUCACUUAUAGAUGGAUCCGCGCCGCAUUAGCUAGUUGGUAAGGUAACGGCUUACCAAGGCAACGAUGCGUAGCCGACCUGAGAGGGUGAUCGGCCACACUGGAACUGAGACACGGUCCAGACUCCUACGGGAGGCAGCAGUAGGGAAUCUUCCGCAAUGGGCGAAAGCUUGACGGAGCAACGCCGCGUGAGUGAUGAAGGUCUUCGGAUCGUAAAACUCUGUUAUUAGGGAAGAACAAAUGUGUAAGUAACUAUGCACGUCUUGACGGUACCUAAGCAGAAAACCACGGCUAACUACGU